rnacentral:rRNA from 1 species
GACGAACGCUGGCGGCGUGCUUAACACAUGCAAGUCGAACGCUGAAGCGCAGCUUUUGUUGGGUGGAUGAGUGGCGAACGGGUGAGUAACACGUGAGUAACCUGCCCCCUUCUUUGGGAUAACGCCCGGAAACGGGUGCUAAUACUGGAUAUUCACUGGUCUUCGCAUGGGGGUUGGUGGAAAGGGUUUUUCUGGUGGGGGAUGGGCUCGCGGCCUAUCAGCUUGUUGGUGGGGUGAUGGCCUACCAAGGCUUUGACGGAUAGCCGGCCUGAGAGGGUGACCGGGCAUGAUGGGAUGGACGGACGGAUCAGGAUUCUGCCGGGGGCAGGACUGGGGAAUGUUGCAGCAGGGGGGAAAGCCUGAUGCUGGGAGGCCGCGUGAGGCAUCGAGGCCGUGGGGUGGAGGACCUCUUUCGGUUAGGGUCAAGCUGCAACAGUGGUUGUGGUGAGGGUUGUGGGUAAAGAAGGGCCGGCUAAAUACGUG